GCAACAUAGAUAUCCCUGGAGGUCACUCUCCCAGGAGUUCUGUCCAGGUGAGGCGGGGCCGCGUAGGGCUCUGCUCCAUGGUGUACAGUCCCUUUCUACAGGACUGGGGAUGACUCUGUGCCUUGAGUCUGCACCUGCAUCUUUCUAUAGCUUCUCACAGCCUGUGGACAAUGCUGACGAGACCAAUUAUGCAAGAAACAAUA
ensembl:snoRNA SNORA73 Small nucleolar RNA SNORA73 family